CGCAUAAAGCUAAAGAAUGAAUCAUCAAUGCCACGCGUGUUCAGUAUCUUAGCAAUGAAAUCGCUGAGCAACCCUUUCCAAGAGAACGUAAAGACAGAAGCACGCAUGCUGCUUGAUUCUCUAGGCCAUCAAAAUAAAUGCCCGUUCUGUCAUUGGACGCAUGCUAGAACUCAGCAACCUGCUUAACUUCUUGGAGCGUCAAGGUCUUUGUUCACAGAAUGAGAGAUUUGCACUAAACGACCUUCACAAGUCCUUCCAGCUCAUUCUGUGGUUCUCUGAAAACUCACUGACUUCUGGAGUCAGAACAUCAAAUUGGACUUUGUGAAACUUCUGUUAACAAGGAGGCCACACUUGAUUUCUAAAACUCAAUUAGCACAGAUUAAAAAUAAAUAAAUAAAAGACUUAUAUGGCUGCAUCCCACUAUGUUAGAUACAGGGGGGUUGGGAUGAAAAUACCAAUAAAC
rnacentral:lncRNA from 1 species